rnacentral:rRNA from 1 species
CUGGGGUGAAGUCGUAACAAGGUAGCCGUAUCGGAAGGUGCGGCUGGAUCACCCCCUUUCUAAGGAGAAUU